rnacentral:snRNA from 9 species
AGACGUUCUUGGCGUAGAGGGAUACCGUGAUCAUGCAGACGGUUCCCCCAGGGCGAGGCUGCUUCUUUGCACUGCGGAGUGAUUGACCCUUGCGAUUAUUUUUAUUUUUAUCAAUAAAAAAUCAUAAUCAUAAUAA